rnacentral:rRNA from 1 species
CAGCAGCCACGGUAAUACGAAGGGUGCAAGCGUUAAUCGGAAUUACUGGGCGUAAAGCGUGCGUAGGCGGUUUGUUAAGUCUGCUGUGAAAUCCCCGGGCUCAACCUGGGAAUGGCAGUGGAUACUGGCAAGCUAGAGUGUGUCAGAGGAUGGUGGAAUUCCCGGUGUAGCGGUGAAAUGCGUAGAGAUCGGGAGGAACAUCAGUGGCGAAGGCGGCCAUCUGGGACAACACUGACGCUGAGGCACGAAAGCGUGGGGAGCAAACAGGAUUAGAUACCCGCGUAGUCCCUGUCUCUUAUAC